rnacentral:rRNA from 1 species
CCUACGGGUGGCAGCAGUGAGGAAUAUUGGUCAAUGGGCGCUAGCCUGAACCAGCCAAGUCGCGUGAGGGAGUACUGCCCUAUGGGUUGUAAACCUCCUUUGUCGGGGAGCAAAGGCCGGACGUGUCCGGCUGUGAGAGUACCCGAAGAAAAAGCAUCGGCUAACUCCGUGCCAGCAGCCGCGGUAAUACGGAGGAUGCGAGCGUUAUCCGGAUUUAUUGGGUGUAAAGGGUGCGCAGGCGGAUUUUUAAGUCAGCGGUAAAAUCGUGGGGCUCAACCCCAUCCAGCCGUUGAAACUGGGGAUCUAGAGUGGGCGAGAGGUAUGCGGAAUGCGUGGUGUAGCGGUGAAAUGCAUAGAUAUCACGCAGAACCCCGAUUGCGAAGGCAGCAUACCGGUGCACAACUGACGCUCAGGCACGAAAGCGUGGGUAUCGAACAGGAUUAGAUACCCGAGUAGUC